GAAAUGCGAUAAGUAGUGUGAAUUGCAGAAUUCAGUGAAUCAUCGAAUCUUUGAACGCACAUUGCGCCCUAUGGUAUUCCGUAGGGCAUGCCUGUUCGAGCGUCAUUUACACCUUCAAGCCUUGCUUGGUGUUGGGUGACUGUGGCCCCUUUGGGGCCACUCGCCUUAAAGUCAUUGGCGGCCGGUUCGUUGGCUUUGUAGCGCAGCACAAUUGCGUCCUCGAAGCCGUUGGACCAGCUCCCAGAAGCUAAUUUUAAAUGUUUGACCUCGAAUCAGGUAGGGAUACCCGCUGAACUUAAGC
rnacentral:misc_RNA from 1 species